GUGAGUCAUCGAAUCUUUGAACGCACAUUGCGCCCGCCAGUAUUCUGGCGGGCAUGCCUGUCCGAGCGUCAUUUCAACCCCUCAAGCCCAGCUUGGUGUUGGGGCCCCUACGUGCGCCGUAGGCCCCGAAUGUCAGUGGCGGGCUCGCCGCGACCCCGAGCGUAGUAGCAUAAAGCUCGCUCCAGGGCGCCGCGGCGGGUGCCGGCCGUGAAAAAACCCCACUUUCUCAGGUUGACCUCGGAUCAGGUAGGAAUACCCGCUGAACUUAAGCAUAUCAAUAAGCGGAGGA
rnacentral:misc_RNA from 1 species